rnacentral:rRNA from 1 species
GACGAACGCUGGCGGCGUGCCUAAUACAUGCAAGUCGAACGCAGUGGGGACGGGUGAGUAACACGUGGGUAAGCUGCCCAUCACAGGGGAUAAAACUUGGAAACAGGUGCUAAACCGAUAGUGAUGGAUGAAACCGCGGUUCAUUAGCUAGUUGGUGAGGUAACGGCUCACCAAGGCCACGAUGCAUAGCCGACCUGAGAGGGUGAUCGGCCACACUGGGACUGAGACACGGCCCAGACUCCUACGGGAGGCAGCAGUAGGGAAUCUUCGGCAAUGGACGAAAGUCUGACCGAGCAACGCCGCGUGAGUGAAGAAGGUUUUCGGAUCGUAAAACUCUGUUGUUAGAGAAGCGGUAUCUAACCAGAAAGCCACGGCUAACUACGUGCCAGCCGCCGCGGUAAUUC